rnacentral:tRNA from 1 species
GCCAGCUUAGCUUCAAUUGGUAGAGCUCUCGACUUGUAAUCGAGCGGUUGUCGGUUCGAGUCCGACAGCUGGCUCCA